rnacentral:lncRNA from 1 species
UAUACAUUUAUCAUGCACAAAAUGAUGUCUUGAAAUAUGUAUACAUUGUGGAAUGGCUAAAUCAAGGUGAGUAUAUGGUGAGAAGGCAGCUGUCUGUGAACCAGAAGGAGGGCCCUCACCAAGAAGUGACCAUGCUGGCACCCUGAUCUUGGACUUCUGGCAUCUGGAACUAUCUAGCUAGUUUAAAGAUGAAAACUGCAGCAGAUGAGAAAGAAAAAUACAACUGGAAAACUUGGAUGAAUUAGAAACACUAAACAGUUUUCAGGAAAGCUGAGUAUCAGAGAAAAACAGAUGCUGGAGGAAAAGAAAAAAAGAGGACACAAAAACUGUCCUGGCCAAAGGGGUCAUGACCACACAUUAUCCUUGGAUGAGGGCUUCCUUUAUGGUGACAAUUGAACAGAAGCAUUUAGAGCAGAUUACAAUGCAUAUUAUACGUACAAUGAAAUCAUUGAAACAGAAAAAAGAGCCAAAAUUGAUGUCUUUGCCUUAAAUCUUGCUUCUUUCUAGUUUAUUCUCUCCACAGUGGUCGGGGCAGUCUGAGAGAAUACGGUGGAAUCGAUGGUAUGCGACUUCCAAGGUUAGGUCAUAAAAGACAUUGAAGUUUCUGCUUUGUCUCUUGAAUCACUUUCUCUGGGGGAAACCAGCUACUGGGUCAUAAGGACACUCAAGCAGCACCAUGGAGGGGCCCAAGUGGAGAGAAACCAACUUGCCAGCAUUAACUUGGUAGUUGUGCAGCCAUGUGAAUGAGUGGAUCCUACCAUCCUAGUCAAACCUCUGAUAACUGAAGGUCCCACCUAUAUUUGACUGCAGUCUUCCAACAGACCCCACCCAAGCUGCUCUAGGAUUCCUGACCUACAGAAACUGUGAGGGAUAAGAUAUGCUUGUUGUUUUAACCCACUAAGUUUUAGAGUGAUUUGUUACACAGCAAUAUACAACAAAUACACAAGUCAUCACAGGUAAUAUUUUUAUUAAAUAUUUGCAUAGUACAAACCUGGGUCUCCAUCUUUGUAGGCUUUGAUUUUUGUUUUUUACCAAUCACUGACUGUUAAGCCACAUAUUUUAAGUUUUUGUUACAAUCACACCUAACCUCAAUGUACCAAUUUCUGUAAAUAGAUAAUGCUAGGUACCGUAACCGAUAAAUCUUGACAUCUGAGUGGAUUAAUACAAUAAAAGUUUAUUUUUCAUCUCAUGUAAGGUCUAAAAGUCCAAUUAAUGGGAAUUUGCAGGGUGGGAAGCCCUCUGAUCAACAACUGUUCAAAAACUGACAUCUUCAUAACAUGGCUUCCAAGGUUGCUCUGGGUGACAGCAUCUUUAACAUAAGGAUGCUAUCUUUAAUAUGUGGCUUCUGGGGUUGCUCUAGGUGACAACAUCCAGUAAUUCAUAUGAAAAUAUCUUUUUCUUCCUUUAUUUUUACUUAUGACAAAGAAAGUUUGCUUGCUUUCAAGCCUGGAACGCCUGGGACCUUCAGUGAACCUCUUCCUCAGAUACAUGCCUGCGUAGUGUCAACUUGCUCUAUUGCUGGGAAGUGCUUGGCUGAUUAUCUUCUUCCUGCCCUGGGAGAUGUCUCACUAAUCAUUCAUUCAUUCAGCAAACAUUACAACGUUCCAGGCACUGUGCUAACUACUGAAUAUUCAGUGAUAUAGGAUAAAAUCUCUGUCCUAAAGUUGCUUGCAGUCAGAUGGGAGAAAAGCAAGUAAAUACAACAAUUUGUGAGCUUUAAAAAAGACCUAUAACAUCUUGUGAAGGAGGGGCAGAACUUAUCAUCCUCAACUAACAUAGAGAAAAUUGUCUCAUAGAGCAGGAGCUGAUAGCCCUUGGCUUUCUGGAUGGAGGAGACAGCAAUGGAGUGGAGGGAUUUCUCAGGAAUCUCCC